rnacentral:rRNA from 1 species
CCUACGGGAGGCAGCAGUGGGGAAUUUUGGACAAUGGGCGCAAGCCUGAUCCAGCAAUGCCGCGUGCAGGAUGAAGGCCUUCGGGUUGUAAACUGCUUUUGUACGGAGCGAAAAGGCUCACACUAAUACUGUGGGCUCAUGACGGUACCGUAAGAAUAAGCACCGGCUAACUACGUGCCAGCAGCCGCGGUAAU